CUUUUUACAGAAUCACCUGAAGACGUGCUUCAGGAAAGUACAAAAAUCCCAACAAGGAAGAUAAGUCUCUCGUUUCCUGACAAGGUCAAACAAAAAGCCCUCCAGUUUCAAACCUUCCUGCCCAAAGUCUUCCUAAAGCUCCCGGAUCCACGUUCCUGCCCUGCCUAACGUACUGUAGCCUCCUGUAUGUGACAGAUUCGUGCUUUCGUGACGGUAGCACUCGAAAGGCCUGGCUGUCACGGUUCUAAACACGUCAGCAGAGAAGCAGCGAUACUACCCGUGGAGGAUGUCCUGAUGUGG